UACAUAGGGUGCAAGCGUUUGUCCGGAAUUAUUGGGCGUAAAGAGCUCGUAGGUGGUUCGUCACGUCGGAUGUGAAACUCUGGGGCUUAACCCCAGACCUGCAUUCGAUACGGGCGAGCUUAGUAUGGUAGGGGAGUCUGAAUUCCUGGUGUAGCGGUGGAAUGCGCAGAUAUCAGGAGGAACACCAAUGGCGAAGGCAGGACUCUGGGCCAUUACUGACACUGAGGAGCGAAAGCGUGGGGAGCGAACAGG
rnacentral:rRNA from 1 species